rnacentral:rRNA from 1 species
CCUACGGGUGGCAGCAGUGAGGAAUAUUGGUCAAUGGACGAGAGUCUGAACCAGCCAAGUAGCGUGAAGGAUGACUGCCCUAUGGGUUGUAAACUUCUUUUAUAUGGGAAUAAAAUGUUCCACGUGUGGGAUUUUGUAUGUACCAUAUGAAUAAGGAUCGGCUAACUCCGUGCCAGCAGCCGCGGUAAUACGGAGGAUCCGAGCGUUAUCCGGAUUUAUUGGGUUUAAAGGGAGCGUAGGUGGAUUGUUAAGUCAGUUGUGAAAGUUUGCGGCUCAACCGUAAAAUUGCAGUUGAAACUGGCAGUCUUGAGUACAGGAGAGGUAGGCGGAAUUCGUGGUGUAGCGGUGAAAUGCUUAGAUAUCACGAAGAACUCCGAUUGCGAAGGCAGUUCACUGGACUGCAACUGACGCUGAGGCUCGAAAGUGUGGGUAUCAAACAGGAUUAGAUACCCUAGUAGUC